GGGGAAUUUUGGACAAUGGGCGCAAGCCUGAUCCAGCCAUUCCGCGUGCAGGACGAAGGCCUUCGGGUUGUAAACUGCUUUUGUACGGAACGAAAAGGCUCUGGCUAAUACCUGGGGCUCAUGACGGUACCGUAAGAAUAAGCACCGGCUAACUACGUGCCAGCAGCCGCGGUAAUACGUAGGGUGCAAGCGUCAAUGGGAAUUACUGGGCGUAAAGCGUGCGCAGGCGGUUAUGUAAGACAGAGGUGAAAUCCCCGGGCUCAACCUGGGAACUGCCUUUGUGACUGCAUCGCUGGAGUACGGAAGGGGGGGAUGGAAUUCCGCGUGUAGCAGUGAAAUGCGUAGAUAUGCGGAGGAACACCGAUGGCGAAGGCAAUCCCCUGGGCCUGUACUGACGCUCAUGCACGAAAGCGUGGGGAGCAAACA
rnacentral:rRNA from 1 species